UACAGAGACUGCGAGCGUUAUUCGGAUUCACUGGGCGUAAAGGGUGCGCAGGCGGCCAGGUGUGUGGGGCGUGAAAGCCCGGGGCUCAACCCCGGAAUUGCACCUCAAACUACAUGGCUAGAGUACUGGAGAGGGAGACGGAAUUCACGGUGUAGCAGUGAAAUGCGUAGAGAUGCGGAGGAACACCGAUGGCGAAGGCAGCCCCCCUGGGCUAACACUGACGCUCAGGCACGAAAGCGUGGGGAGCAAACAGG
rnacentral:rRNA from 1 species